GCAGUGUAAGUGAGGAAGAGGGCAUAGGGUGGAGUAGUCGGAUGGAAUGCAUGGUUUGAAGAAUCCUAUUUAUCGGGCUGAAAAAUGGUUCCCAUUCCAUCCCAACUCGAAGCUGGGGCCCCUGAAAGGGUCUGACAGUCCUGGCUAACCCCUGGAAAGUUAGCCAAGUCUCCACCGGUGGUUGUUGCUGGCAAUGGAGGGGAUGGAGCUGAGCUCUCAGGAGAAACUGCAGAGGCUUUGCGGUGCCCCAAGGUACCAAGUGAGAACUAGAGAGGAGGGUCCAAGCCCACGGAGCUGGGCAAACAGUCCUGUACCCCAACGCUAACAAGAAGCCAAGGGUGCUGCUGCUGAUGAAAAUAAAGCACCAUGGCAAAACAAAGCCCUGCAAGUCAAAGUUUUACAGGAGCAGAAAUAAGGAGCCAGAGGAGGGGCUGUCAGUGGAGAGGAGAUUGGUGUGGAUUCAUCAAAGGGUGCGAAAGCCAGAUGGCUCCAAGAAUGCCUGACUGUCCAGUUCCUGGAGUCACCCCAGAAGGCGCUUGGGCUCCCCCAGCUACUUUGAACAGUUUCAGCAUCUUGUGUGGUGAGAGGUGAGCACCUGCGCUGUGAUAACAUGGAAACGACUGUUUUAUUUUCUCACCUCUGCUAUUGCUCUGGACACAGGGGUUCUGAAGCUAGCAUCUGUGGAAAGAUUUAGGGGGCCUGUGAACUCUAAUGGGAAAAAAAUCUUUAUUUUUCUGAUUACUAACUGAAAAUUAGCAUUUUCUUCAAUUAUGAAUGUAGGCAACAAACUCCAAUAGGAUUAGCAGUACCUAUGAAUUUGUCAUCAAUAAAACCCACAGAUAUUGUCAUGUUACAGCACAGCUACUGCAGAUGUCUUGAAAUCUUUACAUUCAUUGCUACUUGCAGCCAACGCAUCUGGAUUUGAACAACUCUAAAUGAACCUACCUGAGGGCAGACACUGUGUUGUUUAACUCUGUCCCCCUGUGUGUGGGGUAUGGUUCUUAAUAGGUGGUCAAAAUUGUUUGCUGGAAUGAAUUGAUUUCUGUAACUCUGCUAAUACCUCACUAACUGGGAAUCCAAAGACCCAAAAAAGAUAAAAAACAAACAAACAAAAAACAAAAAAACACAACUUGUUGGAAAUGGAAGCUAUUCCAUUCCUUUCUUGAUUCCACAAGAGAUGCUGCCAUUGGCCUCUCCCAUCUGCCAUGUUUCCUUUAGCUUGCUGACUCCUCCCCUCCCAAUAUUAGUGAGAUACCUGCCACUGAAGAACACUCUUCUUUACUGUCAGUUUCAGACAUCGUGUUUUUCUGUGACAACUGUCAUUUAAAACAGGGGUCUAGGCCAGGCACCGAGGCUCAUGCCUGUAAUCCUAGCACUUUGGGAGGCCGAGGUGGGUGGAUUGCCUGAGCUCAGGAGUUCGAGACCA
rnacentral:lncRNA from 10 species